rnacentral:rRNA from 1 species
AGGGUGUAAACGCUGCAGACUUGGUGUUGGGGGCCCUUUGGGGGCAUUCAGUGCCGGAGAGAAGUUGUUAAGUCUGCUACUUGGGGAGUACGUCCGCAAGGAUGAAACUUAAAGGAAUUGGCGGGGGGAGCACCGCAACGGGAGGAGCGUGCGGUUUAAUUGGAUUCAACACCGUAAAACUCACCAGGGAAGACUGUUACAUGAAGGCCGAGAUGAAGACUCUGCUAGAUUUUCAGAGAGGUGGUGCAUGGCGUCAGUGACU